rnacentral:rRNA from 1 species
UACGUAGGGGGCAAGCGUUGUCCGGAAUUAUUGGGCGUAAAGAGCGCGUAGGCGGUCCGAUAAGUCGGCUGUGAAAGUCAGGGGCUCAACCCUUGGAAGCCGGCCGAUACUGUCGGACUAGAGUCCGGAAGAGGCGAGUGGAAUUCCCGGUGUAGCGGUGAAAUGCGCAGAUAUCGGGAGGAACACCAAUGGCGAAGGCAGCUCGCUGGGACGGUACUGACGCUGAGGCGCGAAAGCGUGGGGAGCAAAGCAG